CACAAACAUAUGCUUAAAUCUAAGCAGACGCGCAAACUGCCACGAGACAUCGUCAUACAACAGACAGAUCUGUCAGCUUAAGCUGGACAUUUGUACAAACAGGAACGCACACUGGUAAAUCCAAAGAAUUGCAUACAGAGCAGAGGACAACAGAAAUGAGUAUAACCCUGCACCCUGCUACUUCUAUCAGCAGUCAACAGGAGAAGCGUGAAGACGAGAGGGCAGCGAGCGCGGGGUGCUCAGACACUGAGGAGCGGAGACAAGGAACACUAGCACUGGGAAGAGGACACGUCACGGGAGUCGGGAACACACUGAGGAUUUAUUGUUAUUGUCCGCGCCUGGGUCCUCCUUUUCCUCAUAUCCCCACGGUUGUCAACCGUGACAUAUAUAUGUUAUAUGCGUUGUUAAAUCAGUCCAUUACGUCUCCAUUACUUUUUAGCAUAGCUGUAAAAUGCUUGUUAUAAAUAAUAAAAUAAAUCCA